rnacentral:rRNA from 2 species
GCCUUAGUAGCGGCGAGUGAGCGGCAAAAGCUCAAAUUUGAAAUCUGGCACCUUCGGUGUCCGAGUUGUAAUUUGAAGAUUGUAACCUUGGGGUUGGCUCUUGUCUAUGUUUCUUGGAACAGGACGUCACAGAGGGUGAGAAUCCCGUGCGAUGAGAUGCCCAAUCCUAUGUAAGGUGCUUUCGAAGAGUCGAGUUGUUUGGGAAUGCAGCUCUAAGUGGGUGGUAAAUUCCAUCUAAAGCUAAAUAUUGGCGAGAGACCGAUAGCGAACAAGUACAGUGAUGGAAAGAUGAAAAGAACUUUGAAAAGAGAGUGAAAAAGUACGUGAAAUUGUUGAAAGGGAAGGGUUUGAGAUCAGACUCGAUAUUUUGUGAGCCUUGCCUUCGUGGCGGGGUGACCCGCAGCUUAUCGGGCCAGCAUCGGUUUGGGCGGUAGGAUAAUGGCGUAGGAAUGUGACUUUGCUUCGGUGAAGUGUUAUAGCCUGCGUUGAUGCUGCCUGCCUAGACCGAGGACUGCGAUUUUAUCAAGGAUGCUGGCAUAAUGAUCCCAAACCGCCCGUCUUGA